CCUUGAUGGCGACCGGCGCACGGGUGAGUAACGCGUAUGCAACCUGCCUCAUACUCGGGGAUAGCCUUUCGAAAGAAAGAUUAAUAUCCGAUAGCAUAUAUUUCCCGCAUGGGUUUUAUAUUAAAGAAAUUCGGUAUGAGAUGGGGAUGCGUUCCAUUAGUUUGUUGGGGGGGUAACGGCCCACCAAGACUACGAUGGAUAGGGGUUCUGAGAGGAAGGUCCCCCACAUUGGAACUGAGACACGGUCCAA
rnacentral:rRNA from 1 species